rnacentral:rRNA from 1 species
UACGUAGGCAGCGAGCGUUGUUCGGAAUUACUGGGCGUAAAGAGUGUGUAGGCGGUGCUCUAAGUUCGGUGUGAAAUCUCCCGGCUUAACUGGGAGGGUGCGCCGGAAACUGGAGUGCUCGAGCGUGGGAGAGGAAAGCGGAAUUCCUGGUGUAGCGGUGAAAUGCGUAGAUAUCAGGAGGAACACCGGUGGUGUAGACGGCUUUCUGGACCGUAACUGACGCUGAGACACGAAAGCGUGGGGAGCAAACAGG